GGACCUGACUGCUAUCGGAUUGAUACUAAGCCAUGCGAGUCAUUGUAGCAAUACAAGGCAUACGGCUCAGUAACGCGUAGUCAACCUAACCUAUGGACGGGAAUAACCUCGGGAAACUGAGAAUAAUGCCCGAUAGAACAUUAUGCCUGGAAUGGUUUAUGUUCCAAAUGAUUUAUCGCCGUAGGAUGGGACUGCGGCCUAUCAGUUUGUUGGUGAGGUAAUGGCCCACCAAGACUAUUACAGGUACGGGCUCUGAGAGGAGUAGCCCGGAGAUGGGUACUGAGACACGGACCCAGGCCCUAUGGGGCGCAGCAGGCGAGAAAACUUUGCAAUGUGCGAAAGCUACGACGAAGGUUAAUCCGAGUGGUUUCUGCUAAAGAAACUCUUUUGUCGAGUCCUAGAAACACUGAUGAAUAAGGGGUGGGCGAAGUUCUGGUGUCAGCG
rnacentral:rRNA from 1 species